rnacentral:rRNA from 1 species
UACGUAGAGUGCGAGCGUUAAUCGGAAUUACUGGGCGUAAAGCGUGCGCAGGCGGUCUGUUAAGACCGAUGUGAAAUCCCCGGGCUUAACCUGGGAACUGCAUUGGUGACUGGCAGGCUUUGAGUGUGGCAGAGGGAGGUAGAAUUCCACGUGUAGCAGUGAAAUGCGUAGAGAUGUGGAGGAAUACCGAUGGCGAAGGCAGCCUCCUGGGCCAACACUGACGCUCAUGCACGAAAGCGUGGGGAGCAAACAGG